rnacentral:rRNA from 1 species
GACGAACGCUGGCGGCGUGCUUAACACAUGCAAGUCGCGCGGUAAGGCCUUUCGGGGUACACGAGCGGCGAACGGGUGAGUAACACGUGGGUGAACUGCCCUGCACUCUGGGAUCAGCCUGGGAAACUGGGUCUAAUACUGGAUAUGACCUCAGCAUGCAUGUGCUGGGGUGGAACGCUUUCGUGGUGCAGGAUGGGCCCGCGGCCUAUCAGCUUGUUGGUGGGGUAAUGGCCUACCAACGCGACGACGGGUAGCCGACCUGAGAGGGUGCCCGGCCACACUGGGACUGAGACACGGCCCAGACUCCUACGGGAGGCAGCAGUGGGGAAUAUUGCACAAUGGGCGGAAGCCUGAUGCAGCGACGCCGCGUGAGGGAUGAAGGCCUUCGGGUUGUAAACCUCUUUCAGCAGGGACGAAGCGUGAGUGACGGUACCUGCAGAAGAAGCACCGGCUAACUACGUGCCAGCAGCCGCCGUAC